rnacentral:lncRNA from 10 species
CCACCAUGUCCCUCCCACAACACAUGGGAAUUGUUGGAGCUACAGUUCAAGAUGAGAUUUGGGUAGGGACAUAGCCAAUACACGUCCCCUUAUUAUUGGAUUUGGACUUGGGUUAGGUAAUUUUGGGGACAGCUUAAUGAUGAGGGCUUUCUUCUGGAUUAAAUGCUGUCAGGAAGUGAGCCAAUCUUAUUUGGAAGGAGGAAGGAGUGCACAGACACAGAACAGCAGACCCCAGGCUGAUGCGGAUGCUCUGCAGGAUGGUUGAUAUCUAACAGGAGGCCCCCAAGGUCUUUCUGUGAACACCAAGCCAGCUCCUAAGAGCUCCAAGAUCUCGUUGUAAGUGGCAGGCCAGUCUCAGGGCAUCGGAAACUCUUCUUCUCUUUCUCAAUACAUAAUUUAAAAUUGUUUUUCAUUUUCUGUGAUCUAAGAUUUAUUUUUUAAAAAUAUUCACUGAGCCAUAAACAAUAUAAUUGUUAUAUCCAAUUUACCCAAACAAUACAAAUGUAUAGCAUACUGUGAUUAUGAUUAAUCAUAAAAAUUUUAUUAGAAAUUACAUCUCCUGAUGAGAUAGAAAGGAAAAUAUUCAGGUAGGU